GAUGAACGCUGGCGGCGUGCCUAAUACAUGCAAGUCGAGCGAACGGACGAGAAGCUUGCUUUUCUGAUGUUAGCGGCGGACGGGUGAGUAACACGUGGAUAACCUACCUAUAGGACUGGGAUAACUUCGGGAAACCGGAGCUAAUACCGGAUAAUAUUUUGAACCGCAUGGUUCAAAAGUGAAAGACGGUCUUGCCGUCACUUAUAGAUGGAUCCGCGCUGCAUUAGCUAGUUGGUAAGGUAACGGCUUACCAAGGCAACGAUGCAUAGCCGACCUGAGAGGGUGAUCGGCCACACUGGAACUGAGACACGGUCCAGACUCCUACGGGAGGCAGCAGUAGGGAAUCUUCCGCAAUGGGCGAAAGCCUGACGGAGCAACGCCGCGUGAGUGAUGAAGGUCUUCGGAUCGUAAAACUCUGUUAUUAGGGAAGAACAUAUGUGUAAGUAACUGUGCACAUCUUGACGGUACCUAAUCAGAAAGCCACGGCUAACUACGUGCCAGCAGCCGCGGUAAUACGUAGGUGGCAAGCGUUAUCCGGAAUUAUUGGGCGUAAAGCGCGCGUAGCGGUUUUUUAAGUCUGAUGUGAAAGCCCACGGCUCAACCGUGGAGGGUCAUUGGAAACUGGAAAACUUGAGUGCAGAAGAGGAAAGUGGAAUUCCAUGUGUAGCGGUGAAAUGCGCAGAGAUAUGGAGGAACACCAGUGGCGAAGGCGACUUUCUGGUCUGUAACUGACGCUGAUGUGCGAAAGCGUGGGGAUCAAACAGGAUUAGAUACCCUGGUAGUCCACGCCGUAAACGAUGAGUGCUAAGUGUUAGGGGGUUUCCGCCCCUUAGUGCUGCAGCUAACGCAUUAAGCACUCCGCCUGGGGAGUACGACCGCAAGGUUGAAACUCAAAGGAAUUGACGGGGACCCGCACAAGCGGUGGAGCAUGUGGUUUAAUUCGAAGCAACGCGAAGAACCUUACCAAAUCUUGACAUCCUUCGACAACUCUAGAGAUAGAGCUUUCCCCUUCGGGGGACAAAGUGACAGGUGGUGCAUGGUUGUCGUCAGCUCGUGUCGUGAGAUGUUGGGUUAAGUCCCGCAACGAGCGCAACCCUUAAGCUUAGUUGCCAUCAUUAAGUUGGGCACUCUAAGUUGACUGCCGGUGACAAACCGGAGGAAGGUGGGGAUGACGUCAAAUCAUCAUGCCCCUUAUGAUUUGGGCUACACACGUGCUACAAUGGACAAUACAAAGGGCAGCGAAACCGCGAGGUCAAGCAAAUCCCAUAAAGUUGUUCUCAGUUCGGAUUGUAGUCUGCAACUCGACUACAUGAAGCUGGAAUCGCUAGUAAUCGUAGAUCAGCAUGCUACGGUGAAUACGUUCCCGGGUCU
rnacentral:rRNA from 1 species